rnacentral:lncRNA from 13 species
CUUUAAGGUUGUACCCAGGGCUAAUGAUUUUUUCAAAGCACAAUAGGCCAGGCACAGUAGCUCACGCCCCAGCACUUUGGGAAGCUGAGGCAGGCGAAUCACUUGAGUAUGAGACCAAUCUGGCCAACAUAGUGAAACCCCAUCUCUACUAAAAAUACAAAAAAAAAAAAAAAUAGCCGGGAGUGGUGGCCUGUAAUCCCAGCUACUCAGGAGGCUGAGACAGCAGAAUUGCUUGAACCUGAGAGGCAGAGGUUGUAGUCAGCGGAGAUUGCACCACUGCACUCCAGCCUGGGUGACUGAGCUACACUGUGUCUCAAAAAUGAACAAAGAAAGAAAACAAAAGACAACAUUUGGAGACUGCACGUUUUGUUGUUUCUUAGACUGUUGUUUGAGGGUGAAUCUUCACUGUAGCCUCCAAAGUGUCCUAAAGGUGCUUGUGUUCCCUGGUUAGGAUGCCAUAACUUCAUUUUGGUCCACUGUGAAGAAGUGAAUUGUGGCUUCUCCAAUCUUUCUUCCCUUGAUCACAUUUUCAGCACGAGGUAUUGGGUAAUAUCCUAUUCUGUGGGACUUGUAUUCAAAUAAGUUUACCUUGGGAUUUAAAAAGGUUGGGAAAUACUGUUGCUCUCAAAAACGGUUUAGUAGUGCAGAGCAGGGGGCCCGCAUUAAGGUUGCUUUUGACCUGUAGGUGGCGACUGAUGGGCAGGAAUUUUGCUGGUAAUUUUCAGAUUGUGGAAAUACAACUGAGAAGCAAAACACUGGCAACUUCAUGAUAUGCAUUUCCCACAAAUAAUACUCUGAUUAUUCAGUGAUUGAGGCAAAAGUAUGAACAUACUCAGCCACAUUCCUUUAAU